rnacentral:misc_RNA from 1 species
GAUGAAGAACGUAGCGAAAUGCGAUAAGUAAUGUGAAUUGCAGAAUUCAGUGAAUCAUCGAAUCUUUGAACGCACAUUGCGCCCGCCAGUAUUCUGGCGGGCAUGCCUGUUCGAGCGUCAUUACAACCCUCAGGCCCCCGGGCCUGGCGUUGGGGAUCGGCGGAAGCCCCCUGCGGGCACAACGCCGUCCCCUAAAUACAGUGGCGGUCCCGCCGCAGCUUCCAUUGCGUAGUAGCUAACACCUCGCAACUGGAGAGCGGCGCGGCCACGCCGUAAAACACCCAACUUCUGAAUGUUGACCUCGAAUCAGGUAGGAAUACCCGCUGAACUUAAGCAUAUCAAUAAGCGGAGGA